rnacentral:tRNA from 1 species
AUUUAAAUAGUUUAAUUAAAAUAUUAAUUUGUGGGAUUAAAGAUAUAGAGUAUCUAUUUUAAAUC